rnacentral:misc_RNA from 1 species
UGAAGAACGUAGCGAAAUGCGAUAAGUAGUGUGAAUUGCAGAAUUCAGUGAAUCAUCGAAUCUUUGAACGCACAUUGCGCCCCUUGGUAUUCCAUGGGGCAUGCCUGUUCGAGCGUCAUUUGUACCUUCAAGCUUUGCUUGGUGUUGGGUGUUUGUCUCGCCUUUGCGUGUAGACUCGCCUUAAAAUAAUUGGCAGCCGGCGUAUUGAUUUCGGAGCGCAGUACAUCUCGCGCUUUGCACUCAUAACGACAGCGUCCAAAAGUACAUUUUACACUCUUGACCUCGGAUCAGGUAGGGAUACCCGCUGAACUUAAGCAUAUCAAUAAGCGGAGGA